rnacentral:rRNA from 1 species
GACGAACCGAGCGAACGUUGUUCGGAAUCACUGGGCUUAAAGGGCGCGUAGGCGGGCUGUCAAGUCUGGGGCGAAAUCCCGCGGCUCAACCGUGGAACUGCCUCAGAUACUGACGGCCUCGAGGGAGGUAGGGGCGAGCGGAACUGUGAGUGGAGCGGUGAAAUGCGUUGAUAUUCACAGGAACUCCGGUGGCGAAGGCGGCUCGCUGGACCUUUUCUGACGCUGAGGCGCGAAAGCUAGGGGAGCAAACGGG